rnacentral:lncRNA from 1 species
GUAGAGACAAGAUCUCACUAUGUUACCCAGGCUGCUCUUGAAUUCCUGAGCUCAAGUGAUCCUCCUGCCACAGUCUCCCAAAGGGCUGAGAUUACAGGCAUGAGCCACCAUGACCAGCCUGAAAAAGAUUUUUUGAUUGGCCAAGAACUUUUAAAUUUAAAAACUAAAUUCCUGAAAGUCUGAAUUAUAUUAGCUAUGGAGUAAAAUGAGAAAAUAGAGGACUUUCAUUUUUACUUUAUUUCUAUACUUUAAAAAGUGCUUAAAAGCGUGUAUUAUUUUUAUAAUAAAUACAUUUGAUACAAGGUUUCAAAUGUUACUUUUCUAACAAAAUUGCAAUUUAAGGCUUUGGGGUUUUUUUGUUUGUUUUGUUUUUUGUUUUUGAGACAGCGUCUCACUCUGUCACCCAGGCUAGAGUGCAGUGGUGCAAUCUCAGCUCACUGCAACCUCCACCUCCUGGGUUCAAGCGAUUCUCCCACCUCAGCCUCCGGAAUAGUUGGGAUUACAGGCCGAGGCAGGCGGAUCACGAGGUCAAGAGAUCGACACCAUCCUUGCCAACAUGGUGAAACCCCUUCUCUACUAAAAAUACAAAAAUUAGCUGGGUGUGGUGAUGUGCGCCUGUAAGUCUCAGCUACUCGGGAAGCUGAGGCAGGAGAAUCACUUGAACCCAGGAGGCCGAGGUUGCAGUGAGCCAAGAUCGCGCCACUGCACCCCAGCCUGGCGACAGCGAGACUCUGUCUCAUAAAAUAAAAAUACAAUAAAAAAAAUCAAUAAGUGGUAAGACAACUCCAGGACCAAGGAGGAAGAGAUGUCCCUUUAUUGUAUUUUGUGUUAUAUGAUUUUAGGAUUCAAAAACCUACUUUAAGUUACCUAAUGUUCCACAAUAUAGCAGGUAUAUUUCUUUUAACCUAUUUAAGCCAUCAGACAGAAUAAACUUAUUUGGCCAGUACUUAAUGAAAG